AUACGGAGGGUGCAAGCGUUACUCGGAAUCACUGGGCGUAAAGCGCGCGCAGGCGGUCUUUUAAGUUGGAUGUGAAAGCCUACGGCUCAACCGUAGAACUGCAUCCAAAACUAUUAGACUAGAGUGUGGGAGAGGAAGAUGGAAUUAGUUGUGUAGGAGUAAAAUCCGUAGAGAUAACUAGGAAUACCAAAAGCGAAGGCAAUCUUCUGGAACACUACUGACGCUGAGGCGCGAAAGCGUGGGGAGCAAACGGGAUUAGAUACCCGAGUAGUCC
rnacentral:rRNA from 1 species